rnacentral:rRNA from 1 species
UACAGAGGGGGCAAGCGUUAUUCGGAAUUAUUGGGCGUAAAGCGCACGUAGGCGGAUCGUUAAGUCGGGGGUGAAAUCCUGGAGCUCAACUCCAGAACUGCCUUCGAUACUGGCGAUCUUGAGUCCGGAAGAGGUGAGUGGAACUCCUAGUGUAGAGGUGGAAUUCGUAGAUAUUAGGAAGAACACCAGUGGCGAAGGCGGCUCACUGGUCCGGUACUGACGCUGAGGUGCGAAAGCGUGGGGAGCAAACAGGG